AUGAUUUUCCCUCAGGGCUUGAUUCAUUACAACCAGACCCAUGGCAAUUUUUCUACUAGACUGCUAGACUCACAGAUUUUCUUCCCUUCUUUUUCAUCCCAUCUACUCCUCACUUCAAAUGUCCCUGCCUUUGUCACAUCCUCUAAGGCUGGACUUUGUUUCUCCAGGUUACAAGUGGCUGACGUAGUAAUUUCAUCUCCACAGAUGAGGAGGCACAAGGCUCCGGGGUCUCCCCUCCCUGUGAACCCUGAACACUGGCCUCCUGGAAACAGUGCUCUGUUUUUUCUAAGUCAGAAAAAUGACUUGAUGAAGAGAAGAUCACUCCUGGAUAGUUUUGUCUCCUGGCCACCAGGAGUUUGUGAAAGUUGGCAAAAAAGUCUACUAUUGGAUGAAUCAUCAUCAAUCUAA
rnacentral:lncRNA from 1 species